GAGGAAGUAAAAGUCGUAACAAGGUUUCCGUAGGUGAACCUGCGGAAGGAUCAUUAUCGAAUAAAACUUGAACAGGCUGUUGCUGGCUCCCUCGGAUGCAUGUGCACGCUUGUCAUUUUUAUCUCAUUUCUCCUCUGUGCACCAACUGUAGGCUUGAAAUCCUUUCAGGUCUAUGUUUUUACAAUCUCUCAAUGUGUUUGGAAUGUCGAGUUGCAUAAUAUAUACAUACAACUUUCAGCAACGGAUCUCUUGGCUCUCGCAUCGAUGAAGAACGCAGCGAAAUGCGAUAAGUAAUGUGAAUUGCAGAAUUCAGUGAAUCAUCGAAUCUUUGAACGCAUCUUGCGCUCCUUGGUAUUCUGAGGAGCAUGCCUGUUUGAGUGUCAUCAAGUCCUCAACCAUAUUGAUUUUGCUUCGAUGUGGAUUGGAUAUGGGAGCCCAUGCAGGCCUUUCGAUUGAGAGGUCUGCUCUCCUGAAAUGAAUUAGUGGUGUCUGAGCAGUGACUUUUACUACAUGGGUGUGAUAAUCAUUUAUGCCUUUGUGAAACGCUGCGCAAACUGCUUCUAACCUCGUCGUUGACCAAUUUGACCUCAAAUCAGGUAGGACUACCCGCUGAACUUAAGCAUAUCAAUAAGCGGAGGAAAAGAAACUAACAAGGAUUCCCCUAGUAACUGCGAGUGAAGCGGGAAAAGCUCAAAUUUGAAAUCUGAUGGUUUUUGACCGUCCGAGUUGUAAUCUAGAGAAGUGUUUACCCGUGCUGGACCGUGUACAAGUCUCCUGGA
rnacentral:rRNA from 1 species